CAAGCUAGAGUACUGUAGAGGGGGGUAGAAUUUCAGGUGUAGCGGUGAAAUGCGUAGAGAUCUGAAGGAAUACCGGUGGCGAAGGCGGCCCCCUGGACAGAUACUGACACUCAGAUGCGAAAGCGUGGGGAGCAAACAGGAUUAGAUACCCUGGUAGUCCACGCCGUAAACGAUGUCUACUUGGAGGUUGUGCCCUAGAGGCGUGGCUUUCGGAGCUAACGCGUUAAGUAGACCGCCUGGGGAGUACGGUCGCAAGAUUAAAACUCAAAUGAAUUGACGGGGGCCCGCACAAGCGGUGGAGCAUGUGGUUUAAUUCGAUGCAACGCGAAGAACCUUACCUACUCUUGACAUCCAGAGAAUCUAGCGGAGACGCUGGAGUGCCUUCGGGAGCUCUGAGACAGGUGCUGCA
rnacentral:rRNA from 1 species